CCACUGUGCCCAACCUUGUUUAUAUUUUUAUCCUGACACAUAUUACUCUGUGUUAGAGACAAAUGUUGAGUUUGAUCAUUUUUGCAUAAAAAUGGUCACAUUGUAAUUAGAGGUUAACCGUGGAAAUUGCUGUUAUUUAAAACCUAUUGCUAACAUGAUUUCUAAAGUUGAUGUAGGGGAAGGAUUAUGGAAUAGAUUUUUGCCCAAGGUGUAGAUACAUUUUCUUUUUUCUCCUUAGCUGAGAAACAAUGGUCCAAGUUCAUUCAGCAAGGCAAUGCUCCAUCUUCAGUGGCCUUACAAAUAUAAUAAUAACACUCUGUUGUAUAUCCUUCAUUAUGAUAUUGAUGGACCAAUGAACUGCACUUCAGAUAUGGAGAUCAACCCUUUGAGAAUUAAGAUCUCAUCUUUGCAAACAACUGAAAAGAAUGACACGGUUGCUGGGCAAGGUGAGCGGGACCAUCUCAUCACUAAGCGGGAUCUUGCCCUCAGUGAAGGAGAUAUUCACACUUUGGUAAGUGCCAUUUCAAAUAUGUGCACCAUAGACAUUUAAAAAUAUGUGACUAUAGAACUGACGCCAAAGAACAUUUCAAAAAUAACAACAGCUGUGCUUG
rnacentral:sRNA from 1 species